rnacentral:rRNA from 1 species
AACCUGCCCAGCAGAGCGACCCGUGAACAYGUUCAACCUCGUGGGYGUUGGGGCGAYGUUCGGUGCCUUGUGUGCCGGCCCGUCMCUCUCCCAAGCCGGGGGAUCGCUCACUUGUGGGCUGUUUYCYYGGCAAAACAACGAACCCCGGCGCGUAAUGCGUCAAGGAAUACAAACAUUAUGUGUGUGCUCUCCCGUUGCCCGGUUAGCCGGGCGUUGGAGCGGUGCCAUGUCUUAACAAUAAACGACUCUCGGCAACGGAUAUCUCGGCUCUCGCAUCGAUGAAGAACGUAGCGAAAUGCGAUACUUGGUGUGAAUUGCAGAAUCCCGUGAACCAUCGAGUUUUUGAACGCAAGUUGCGCCCGAAGCCUUUGGCUUAGGGCACGUCUGCCUGGGCGUCACGCAUCGCGUCUCCCCCAAAUCCACCCCGAGUGGAGGGGAAGGAGGAUGGUCUCCCGYGACUCACCGGUCGCGGCUGGCCUAAAAUUGGAGCCCUCGGCAUCGGGAUGCCGUGGCGAUAGGUGGUGAACAAGGCCUCGGCCAAGCAAGCAACCCGCCGCGCGUCGCGAUGCCAACGUGAGCUCGAAGGACCCUUUUAGUUGCCUAACGGCAACCUAACCGUUGCGAC